rnacentral:rRNA from 1 species
AACGAACGCUGGCGGCAUGCCUAACACAUGCAAGUCGAACGAGACCUUCGGGUCUAGUGGCGCACGGGUGCGUAACGCGUGGGAACCUGCCCUUAGGUUCGGAAUAACUCCCCGAAAGGGGUGCUAAUACCGGAUAAUGUCUUCGGACCAAAGAUUUAUGGCCUUUGGAUGGGCCCGCGUUGGAUUAGCUAGUUGGUAGGGUAAAAGCCUACCAAGGCGACGAUCCAUAGCUGGUCUGAGAGGAUGAUCAGCCACACUGGGACUGAGACACGGCCCAGACUCCUACGGGAGGCAGGAGUGGGUAAUAUUGGACAAUGGGCGAAAGCCUGAUCCAGCAAUGCCGCGUGAGUGAUGAAGGCCUUAGGGUUGUAAAGCUCUUUUACCCGGGAUGAUAAUGACGGUACCGGGAGAAUAAGCUCCGGCUAACUCCGUG